GGAGNCGUGGCUGUGUGCCUAGGUAUGCUAGUCGGACGAUCCCUUUGAAUUACUUGAGACUUCGGUUGAUUGUUUUUCUUUUUGGGAUAGUGGCAAACGGGUGAGUAACAUGUGGAUUAUCUGCCCUGAAGACGGGAAUAGCUCAUCGAAAGAUGGGGUAAUACUCGAUAGCCUUACAUUCUUUUAGUAUGUAAGUAAAGCUUUUGCGCUUCAGGAGGAGUCCGCAUCCUAUCAGCUUGUUGGUGAGGUAAUGGCUCACCAAGGCUAAGACGGGUAGCUGGCGUGAGAGCGCGGUCAGCCACCAUGGGAACUGAGACACGGUCCAUACUCCUACGGGAGGCAGCAAUUAGGAAUCUUGCGCAAUGGGGGCAACCCUGACGCAGCGACACAGUGUGGAGGAGGAAGGUCUCCGGAUUGUAAACUCCUUUUAUGAGGGAAGAAUAGAUGACGGUACCUCAUGAAUAAGCACCUGCUAACUACGUGCCAGAAGCAUCGGUGAUGCGUAGGGUGCGAACGUUAUCCGGAUUUAUUGGGCGUAUAGAGAAGCGUAGGUGUUUUUGUAAGUCUUUAGUUAAAUACCACGGCUCAACCGUGGGGAAGCUUCGGAAACUACAGAAAUUGAGACAGGAAUGGGCGAAUGGNAAUUCCCAGUGGAGCGGUGAAAUGCGUUGAUAUUGGGAGGAACAUCAGUGGCGAAGGCGAUUCGCUGGUCCUUGUCUGACACUAAGGCUCGAAAGCGUGGGGGAGCGAAACGGAUUAGAUACCCGUGUAGUCCACGCCGUAAACAAUGGACGCUAGGUGUUCGGUACAACUACUUAAUC
rnacentral:rRNA from 1 species